UACGUAGGGGGCAAGCGUUGUCCGGAAUCAUUGGGCGUAAAGCGCGUGUAGGCGGUCCGGUAAGUCGGCUGUGAAAGUCCAGGGCUCAACCCUGGGAUGCCGGUCGAUACUGCCGGACUAGAGUUCGGAAGAGGCGAGUGGAAUUCCCGGUGCAGCGGUGAAAUGCGCAGAUAUCGGGAGGAACACCAAUGGCGAAGGCAGCUCGCUGGGACGUUACUGACGCUGAGACGCGAAAGCGUGGGGAGCAAACAGG
rnacentral:rRNA from 1 species